rnacentral:rRNA from 1 species
CGACGUUGAUAGGUCGGGUGUGUAAGCGCAGCGAUGCGUUGAGCUAACCGAUACUAAUGAACCGUGAGGCUUAACCUUACAACGCCGAAGC